GGGUGCGAUCAUACCAGCAAUAAUGCACCGGAUCCCAUCAGAACUCCGAAGUUAAGCUUGCUUGGGCGAGAGUACUAGGAUGGGUGACCUCCUGGGAAGUCCUCGUGUUGCACCCCUC
rnacentral:rRNA from 1 species